rnacentral:rRNA from 1 species
UACGAAGGGGGCUAGCGUUGCUCGGAAUGACUGGGCGUAAAGGGCGCGUAGGCGGCUGUUACAGUCAGGCGUGAAAUUCCUGGGCUCAACCUGGGGGCUGCGUUUGAUACGUGACGGCUAGAGUGCGGAAGAGGGUCGUGGAAUUCCCAGUGUAGAGGUGAAAUUCGUAGAUAUUGGGAAGAACACCGGUGGCGAAGGCGGCGACCUGGUCCGUGACUGACGCUGAGGCGCGAAAGCGUGGGGAGCAAACAGG